UACGUAGGUUGCAAGCGUUAUCCGGAAUUAUUGGGCGUAAAGAGCUCGUAGGCGGUUUGUCGCGUCUGCUGUGAAAACUGGAGGCUCAACCUCCAGCCUGCAGUGGGUACGGGCAGACUAGAGUGCGGUAGGGGAGAUUGGAAUUCCUGGUGUAGCGGUGAAAUGCGUAGAUAUCAAGUGGAACACCAGUGGCGAAGGCGAAUCCCUGGAAAAUACCUGACACUGAGGCACGAAAGCUAGGGGAGCAAACAGG
rnacentral:rRNA from 1 species